UACGUAGGGUCCGAGCGUUAAUCGGAAUUACUGGGCGUAAAGCGUGCGCAGGCGGUUAUGUAAGACAGAUGUGAAAUCCCCGGGCUCAACCUGGGAACUGCAUUUGUGACUGCAUAGCUAGAGUACGGUAGAGGGGGAUGGAAUUCCGCGUGUAGCAGUGAAAUGCGUAGAUAUGCGGAGGAACACCGAUGGCGAAGGCAAUCCCCUGGACCUGUACUGACGCUCAUGCACGAAAGCGUGGGGAGCAAACAGG
rnacentral:rRNA from 1 species